AGAGUUUGAUCAUGGCUCAGGAUGAACGCUAGCUACAGGCUUAACACAUGCAAGUCGAGGGGCAGCAUGGUCUUAGCUUGCUAAGGCUGAUGGCGACCGGCGCACGGGUGAGUAACACGUAUCCAACCUGCCGUCUACUCUUGGACAGCCUUCUGAAAGGAAGAUUAAUACAAGAUGGCAUCAUGAGUCCGCAUGUUCACAUGAUUAAAGGUAUUCCGGUAGACGAUGGGGAUGCGUUCCAUUAGAUAGUAGGCGGGGUAACGCCCACCUAGUCUUCGAUGGAUAGGGGUUCUGAGAGGAAGGUCCCCCANAUUGGAACUGAGACACGGUCCAAACUCCUACGGGAGCA
rnacentral:rRNA from 1 species